CGAUUGUCCGGCACUUGAUAAACUUUUCAAAUCAGAUUUGUUCCCCAAUUUGUAUGAGAUUUCUUAACCCACUCAAAAUUCCAAGUGUGCACCACCACUAGCAUGGAUUUCAGGAGAUGGACUCAACCCCUACUACAAACUGCGCUUCCACAGAUCCUGAAACACGCCGGAUUUGAACGGAGUGCCACGGGGAUUCCCCGUUUCAAGAACUUCAUUACCAUCCGCAGAUACAGCGAUUCCGGCAUGGAGUACAAAAUGAUUGGACCGGAGCACUGCGACCAGGUGCUGGAGCACCUGCGUCGCAACUUCUUCGCCGACGAGCCGCUGAACAAGGCGGCCGGCUUGUGCCAGAACGGCAGCAGUUGUCCCGCUCUGGAGGCGCACUGUGCCGAGGCCAUACUGGACCGGAUGAGCGUGAUGGCUGUGGAUGCGCGGGAGCAGGAGCAGGGAGUGUGCAAAAUAGUCGGCGUGGUCCUGAAUGGCAUCCUGAAGCCGGGCGACACGGCCAAAGCGCUGAGCAAGCUGGACACCAAUGGCGAUGCGGACUUUCGCAAGAUCUUCGACUUGCUGCACAGGCACAAUCUCAAGUACAAUCUCUUCGAGCACUUCGACGUGGCGUGCAUGUUCGAUGUGCGCAUCCUGUCGGUGGACUCCGGCUACCGGGGCCAGGGCAUAGCCAACGAGCUGGUCAAGCGAUCGGUGGCGGUGGCCCGGAAGAAUGGCUUCCGCCUGCUGAAAGCCGAUGCCACCGGCAUCUUUUCGCAGAAGAUAUUCCGCUCCCAUGGAUUCGAGGUCUUCUCGGAGCAGCCGUACAGCAAGUACACGGAUGGCGAUGGCCGGGUGAUCCUGCCCGUUGAGGCGCCCCACAUCAAGAUGCAGCAGCUGUACAAGGCGAUCUGCGGCGCCGCCGACCAGGACGAGAAGGAACAGUCACGUUAAGGCGACGCCCGACUGGCUGAGAUUUUUGGAACAAUAAUCUUAUUUAUUUUCUACAUACAUGCAUCUUAUUGCAACUUAUUGGAAUGUUUUCGUACUACAAAUAUGGAAAUUAGUUUUGGGAGCGCCAAAUGGAAAUUUUUGGAGCGCCAAGUCAUUGGAACGCCUCUAUGAUGCGGACGCCGCCUGGCAAGUUUACAUAGACGUGUGUAAUUGUUAUUCAUUCGUUUUUUGUAUGGGGACCAACUGCUAACUGCUAACAAUACCUAAAUAAAGUACACUGUUGUGCCAAAGUUAA